rnacentral:rRNA from 2 species
GGGGAUCGCCCCCUUGGGAGGGGACCCGCCCCCCCUCCUACGGAGGCACCAGUAGGGAUUCUCGGCAAUGACCCAAGUUUAUCUGACCAACCCGGGGGAGGGAGAACGUUUUUCGGAUUGUAAGAUUUUGAUGUUAGGGAGAACAAGUCCCGUUUGAACUAAGGCGGUACCUUGACGGUACCUAACAAGAAAGCCCCGGUUAAUUAGGUCCCAGCAGCCGCGGUUAUACGUAGGGGCAAGCUUUGUCCGGAAUUAUUGGGCGUAAAGCGCGCGCAGGCGGUUUCUUAAGUGUGAUGUGAUAGCCCGCGUCUCACCCGUGGAGGCUCAUUGGAAACUGGGAAACUUGAGUGUAGGAGAGGAAAGCGGAAUUCCACGUGUAGCGGUGAAAUGCGUAGAGAUGUGGAGGAACACCAGUGGCGAAGGCGUCUUUCUGGCCUAUAACUGACGGUGAGGCGCGAAAGCGUGGGGAGCACACAGGAUUAGAUACCGUGGUAGUCCACGCCGUAAGCGAUGAGUGAUAGGUGUUAGGGGUUUCUAUACCCUUAGUCCGGACGUUAACACAAUAAUCACUCCGCCUGGGGAGUUCGCCCGCAAGGCUGAAACUCAAAGGAAUUGACGGGGACCCGCACAAGCAGUGGAGCAUGUGGUUUAAUUGGAAGCAACGCGACGAUCCUUACCAGGACUUGACAUCCCUCGGAAUCGUGUAGAGAUAGAGGCGGCCUUGGGGACAGAGGUGACAGGUGGUGCAUGGUUGUCGUCAGCUCGUGUCGUGAGAUGUUGGGUUAAGUCCCGCAACGAGCGCAACCCUUAAUCUUAGUUGCCAGCAUUCAGUUGGGCACUCUAAGGUGACUGCCGGUGACAAACCGGAGGAAGGUGGGGAAGACGUCAAAUCAUCAUGCCCCUUAUGUCCUGGGCUACACCCGUGGUACAAUGGGCAGUACCACGGGUAGCGAAGCCGGGAGGUGGAGCCAAUCCCAUAAAGCUGCUCUCAGUUCGGAUUGCAGUCUGCAACUCGCCUGCAUGAAGCCGGAAUUGCUAGUAAUCGCGGAUCAGCAUGCCGCGGUGAAUACGUUCCCGGGUAUUGUACACACCGCCCGUCACACCAAGCAAGGUAGUCAACUCCACGAAGAUUCGUGGCUCAGCAAGUCGUAACAACGGUACCGGUAGAGGUUUCGCCGCUU